AGAGUUUGAUCAUGGCUCAGAUUGAACGCUGGCGGCAGGCUUAACACAUGCAAGUCGAACGGUAACAGGAAGAAAGCUUGCUUUCUUUGCUGACGAGUGGCGGACGGGUGAGUAAUGCUUGGGAAUCUGGCUUAUGGAGGGGGAUAACUACGGGAAACUGUAGCUAAUACCGCGUAAUAUCGAGAGAUUAAAGGGUGGGACCGCAAGGCCACCUGCCAUGAGAUGAGCCCAAGUGGGAUUAGGUAGUUGGUGAGGUAAAGGCUCACCAAGCCGACGAUCUCUAGCUGGUCUGAGAGGAUGACCAGCCACACUGGAACUGAGACACGGUCCAGACUCCUACGGGAGGCAGCAGUGGGGAAUAUUGCACAAUGGGGGGAACCCUGAUGCAGCCAUGCCGCGUGGAUGAAGAAGGCCUUCGGGUUGUAAAGUUCUUUCGGUAGCGAGGAAGGCAUUUAGUUUAAUAGACUAGAUGAUUGACGUUAACUACAGAAGAAGCACCGGCUAACUCCGUGCCAGCAGCCGCGGUAAUACGGGGGGUGCGAGCGUUAAUCGGAAUAACUGGGCGUAAAGGGCACGCAGGCGGUGACUUAAGUGAGAUGUGAAAGCCCCGGGCUUAACCUGGGAAUUGCAUUUCAUACUGGGUCGCUAGAGUACUUUAGGGAGGGGUAGAAUUCCACGUGUAGCGGUGAAAUGCGUAGAGAUGUGGAGGAAUACCGAAGGCGAAGGCAGCCCCUUGGGAAUGUACUGACGCUCAUGUGCGAAAGCGUGGGGAGCAAACAGGAUUAGAUACCCCGGUAGUCCAA
rnacentral:rRNA from 1 species